GGCACGUAGCGUUCGAUUCAGUCUGCAUCCGACCGUCGCGAGUGUCGCGUCGCGAAGCUGUGCUUGAACUUCGGGGGGGAACACGAGACUCCGAUCCAAGAGUCAGUUGUGCGAGUGCGCGUGAUACAACAUCACGGUUCCUUAUCCCGUAUCUAGCGUACACCCUUUCAAUUCUUUCGAAUCUAAUUUCCCCGUUCUUUUUAACUACGUGAUCGCGAACGGUCGAGAGAAAAAUCAGUGAAAAAUCGUAGAGGCGCGUUAGAGAGAGAAAAAGAGAGAGCGGGUCACUGAACGACCGCACAAAGGUAGGAAGAGGGAGAACGAAAAAUAAAAGAGGGACAGAGAGGGAUUUUCGUCGCGACGUAUACAUACAUACACGUGCGGACCCGAGGAGAGACGUGAAUACGCGCGUGCGCACCCGCGUACAUACACAUACACGUACACGGACGAAAGAGAAAGACAACGACGACACGGGCGCAGGAAAAGAGGGAAGAGAGCCAGUGACACCGGGAGGGUCGGGUGUUCCUCGUGCAAAACCGCCACCGGAAUAUAUGUCGUGAGUGUGUACGGCCAAAGAUCCGCGGAUAGAGGCCGGCGAUAGUGCGCGCAGGGCUUUAAGGAGCGAAAAAAAAGAGGCAAACACGACUCCGGGUGAAAAGCAAUGCGGGUUCAUUGACUGCGUGCCGCGCAAUGGCCGCAUGUUCGUGGCCGAUGCACAAUGCAUGUGUGACAGGAGCUACGAGGAAGAGGACGACGACGAGGCCGAAGAUAUCGGCUCCGGCUAAUAUCGAACUCGAGACCUACUAAAGUUUCCUUCCACUUUCCGUACCAUCGGGAACGUGUACUUCGAUUGGGAGGAGCUCCGAUAACGACCAGCAACCCGUUGGAAUUUAUCGCGUUUUUCAGAUCGAAGUGGAACAAAGGACUUUCCCAAUAGACGCCAUAGUUACCUCAGUUCGAAGCAUCACUUUUCUGGUCACCGUUGGAUCCUACCAAAGAGACCGAUCAGGAGAAUCCAAUUAAACGUUUAAAGCAAGUUCGAUCGGUUGAAUCGAGAUAACGAGAUUA